CUUUCCCUCUGUCGGCAGGCCUAACACAUGCAAGUCGAGCGGAUGAAGGGAGCUUGCUCCUGGAUUCAGCGGCGGACGGGUGAGUAAUGCCUAGGAAUCUGCCUGGUAGUGGGGGAUAACGUCCGGAAACGGGCGCUAAUACCGCAUACGUCCUGAGGGAGAAAGUGGGGGAUCUUCGGACCUCACGCUAUCAGAUGAGCCUAGGUCGGAUUAGCUAGUUGGUGGGGUAAAGGCCUACCAAGGCGACGAUCCGUAACUGGUCUGAGAGGAUGAUCAGUCACACUGGAACUGAGACACGGUCCAGACUCCUACGGGAGGCAGCAGUGGGGAAUAUUGGACAAUGGGCGAAAGCCUGAUCCAGCCAUGCCGCGUGCGUGAAGAAGGUCUUCGGAUUGUAAAGCACUUUAAGUUGGGAGGAAGGGCAGUAAGUUAAUACCUUGCUGUUUUGACGUUACCAACAGAAUAAGCACCGGCUAACUUCGUG
rnacentral:rRNA from 1 species